GGUCAUCGUGUUGGGCGGACUGGACGAGCUGGUAGGAAAGGUUGUGCCAUCACAUUCAUAUCCGAAGAUGAUGCAAGAUAUGCACCUGAUAUUGUAAAAGCUUUACAAUUGUCGGAGCAAGUUGUUCCAGAUGACCUGAAAGCAAGUCCAGAUGACCUGAAGGCUCUUGCUGAGAGUUUCAGGGCGAAGGUGAAUCAGGGACUUGAGCAACUACAUGGGACUGGUUAUGGUGGCAGUGGUUUAAGUUUAAUGAAGAAGAGGAUGGAGUGAGAAGAGCAGCCAAAAAG
rnacentral:lncRNA from 1 species